UACGGAGGGUGCAAGCGUUAAUCGGAAUUACUGGGCGUAAAGCGUGCGCAGGCGGUUUGUUAAGUCUGCUGUGAAAUCCCCGAGCUCAACUUGGGAAUUGCAGUGGAUACUGGCAAGCUGGAGUACGGUAGAGGAAGGUGGAAUUCCCGGUGUAGCAGUGAAAUGCGUAGAGAUCGGGAGGAACACCAGUGGCGAAGGCGGCCUUCUGGACCAGUACUGACGCUCAUGCACGAAAGCGUGGGGAGCGAACAGG
rnacentral:rRNA from 1 species